GCUGGCGGCGCGCUUAACACAUGCAAGUCGAGCGAGAACCAGUCCUUCGGGGCUGGGGACAGCGGCGAACGGGUGAGUAACACGUGGGUAAUCUGCCCUCGGCACCGGAAUAGCCCGGGGAAACCCGGAUUAAUGCCGGAUGGCCUCUCUGCCCUUCGGGGCGGCGAGAAAAGGUAGCUUCGGCCUCCGGCCGAGGAUGAGCCCGCGGCCGAUUAGCUUGUUGGUGAGGUAACGGCUCACCAAGGCGACGAUCGGUAGCUGGUCUGAGAGGACGAUCAGCCACACUGGGACUGAGACACGGCCCAGACUCCUACGGGAGGCAGCAGUGGGGAAUCUUGCGCAAUGGGCGAAAGCCUGACGCAGCGACGCCGCGUGCGGGAAGAAGGCCUUCGGGUUGUAAACCGCUUUCAGGAGGGACGAAGCCACUCAGGUUAAUAGCCGAGAGGGUGACGGUACCUCCAGAAGAAGCCCCGGCUAACUACGUGCCAGCAGCCGCGGUAAUACGUAGGGGGCUAGCGUUGUCCGGAUUUAUUGGGCGUAAAGAGCGUGUAGGCGGCCAUGUAGGUCCGGUGUGAAAACUCGAGGCUUAACCUCGAGAUGUCAUCGGAAACCAU
rnacentral:rRNA from 1 species